rnacentral:rRNA from 1 species
UACGUAGGGGGCAAGCGUUGUCCGGAAUUAUUGGGCGUAAAGAGCGUGUAGGCGGUCCGGUAAGUCAGCUGUGAAAGUCAAGGGCUCAACCCUGGAAUGCCGGUUGAUACUGUCGGGCUAGAGUCCGGAAGAGGCGAGUGGAAUUCCCGGUGUAGCGGUGAAAUGCGCAGAUAUCGGGAGGAACACCAAUGGCGAAGGCAGCUCGCUGGGACGGUACUGACGCUGAGACGCGAAAGCGUGGGGAGCAAACAGG